UACGUAGGGUGCAAGCGUUGUCCGGAAUUAUUGGGCGUAAAGAGCUCGUAGGCGGUUUGUCGCGUCUGCUGUGAAAAUCAGGGCUUAACCCUGGACCUGCAGUGGGUACGGGCAGACUAGAGUGCGGUAGGGGAGAUCGGAAUUCCUGGUGUAGCGGUGAAAUGCGCAGAUAUCAGGAGGAACACCGGUGGCGAAGGCGGAUCUCUGGGCCGAAACUGACGCUGAGGAGCGAAAGCAUGGGGAGCGAACAGGAAUUAGAUACCCGUUG
rnacentral:rRNA from 1 species